GCCCACGUAGCUCAGCGGUAGAGCACUUCCUUGGUAAGGAAGAGGUCAUCGGUUCAAGCCCGAUCGUGGGCUCCA
rnacentral:tRNA from 1 species